GCACCCGGACACAACGCCUGCUCCUGCCCCUCCGGCUCCCCCCGCCCCCCGCCCUCCGGCUGUGCAGAGACCCGGCCUCCAUCGGGGCGGUGCCGGGCCGGGGCCGGCGCUGCCCCAGCGCUCAUGUCGGUGCCGCAGGGUGUCAAAGCGGGCCUGAGGCGGCCUCGACACGCUUCCUCCGCCGCCUGCUGCUGCCGAGCGCGCGUGCCCGCGACACCCCCCCCGCCGCUCCUGCCGCGUUUCCGGGGCGACGGACGGACGCAGUCCCGGCCCUACCGGCAGCGGCGCGGGGCGUGGGGGACGGGGCCUAGGCGCGGGCACGUGACUCCCGCCGCCCAGCCUGCGCUGCACUGCGCACGCGCGAACCCUCUGCUCCUUCCCCCCCUUCGCCCCGCUGUUGUGACGCGUAAGCUCUCCAUUGGCCGCGGCGCAGAGCAUCCCGUGGCACAGGUGAGCGAGAAGCCAUCAUCCUGGGGCGGACGCACCACCCUAGCCUGCCAGGUCCAUGACUUCUGCCCCAAGGACAUGGCUGCUGUCUGGCUGAAAAAUGGGGAGGUGCAACCCCAGGAGACGAGCUAUGCAGGGGUCCUUCCCAGCAGAGGUGAGACCUACCAGACCUGGGCCACCAUCGAGAUUGCCCCGAGCAGCAACCACAACUACGCCUGCAGCGUGAGGCACGAGAGCCUGGGGGCAGCUCUGAGAGUGGCCUGGGACAAGGGCCGGACCGGCAACGCUAUCCUGGAGCUGUUGAAGGAGAAGGUGAACAAGCAGGCGUGGAGUGUACAUACUUUUUCCUAUCUUCAAGGCCGCGGUGGCUGGUGAGACUUGAGACCCCAAGCAUUCUGCUUCUGCCUUUUAUGUUCAACUUCACAGCUCAACAGGUAAUGGAAGUUAAAUGGCUCAUACUGGCCAGCCAAGUAAGGCAACGAUGCUGCAGAAGCCAGAUGGGUGUGAACUGCUUCCCUGGGCAUGCUGGCCUUGGGGAAAACCACCAGAUCCCUCCUGGCUGGGAGGAGAGCAUCUAACAAGUUGAGUGUCCCAGUAGAAGCUCCCGGGGGUGCCUGCAUCUGCAAGCCCACUUUUCACCCGUUGCAGCCAAGCCCUUGGCCAAUGGGCGAGGCUCCACUGUUCGCUGUGACACUGGAUGCUUGAAUGUAGCUGGGACACCUGAGUGGCAGUGCGGAGGGCUGCGGUGAAGGGGCGAUUGAACAUCUCCAGAGAUGACUCCAGCAACACCUUGUACCUGCAGAAGAACAAUCUGAGAGCUGAGGACAGGGCCGGGUAUCACGGUGUGAAGCCCACAGUGAUCAGAAGCCUGCUGUGCCCAAUACAAAAACUUCUGAGCAAAUCUCUUGUCAGCUCAUGCCCAGGAGCGAGAAGCAGCCACAGCCUGAACAAACAGCUGAAGCGGAGCUGGACACACACCCCAGGCACAUUUCUCCCUCUGGGCUCCAGCCCCUGCAAUGGGCACCAAAAAUAAUGCACAGUGGGAAACACAGAGCACCUGGUCCCUGCCCAGCUGGGCAGCAGGGACCUGGCCAGAGCACCCACCCAGCUCCUUGCAGCAGCCGGCUCAGAUGCAGCCAGCCGGGAGACGCCAGGAUCUGGGGAAUUGCCCCAGCGCCUCACACAGCCAGGGCCAGCCUGCUUGCACCGUCCCCAGGCAGGCUGGAUGGGACUUCUCCAGCACUCACACCCUGGGAAACACCCCCAAGCUGUGGCACAGGGAGGGGCAGUGCUGGGCUGCAGCCUUUGGCUGGUGGGUGCUUGUAGUCAGACCAGGACAGUCCCACAUCCCAACAGCUGGGGCCAAGUGUGACCGGGGAGGACAGGAUGUGAGAGAAGACACUGGCCGUGCUUGAAGUGGGUGCUCCAGGGAGUCUCAGUGACUCUGUCCUGCAAAACCCACCAUGCAGGCCUGGGCACCGGGCACCCAGUUCCCUCAGCCACCUCAGGCUCAGCCGCUCAGCCAAUACUGGGUAAUGCAGCCUGUGCGCACCUGCAGCCCCUGCCUGGGGCAGAGCCCUGUGCCUCAGCUGUGUGCCCCCUCCCUUCAUGGGGAGCAGGGCAGAGAACAGCCCUAGCCUGGCCCAGAGCAUCAAGGACCCAGCGGGGCUGUGGGCAGUCAGGGCUUGGUGCUGCAGGGGGAUGGAUCCAGGAGUCAGGAGCAAGCCACAGCAGGAAGCAAGGGGGUAGAGAGCAGUCAGAAGAUCCAGGGUUGUCACCUGGAUCCAGACAGAGGAGUCUGUCCUGCUAUCCAACCCAUGCUCCCACAGGAAACAAGGUCCAGCUGGGCACACUGAGGAAGGCAAAGCCAGGUCCUCCCAGACCCUUCUGGUCCAUUAUGGGGGAUGUCAGUGAGUGGGGGUGGGGGGUGUCUGGCAUUUUUGGCUAGUUGGUGGUACCCCACGACCCCCCUCCCUGAGAACUCACUGUCUCCUGCUCUGACAUGACCAAGCCCAUGGGCCAUAUCUCCAUGCCACACAGCAGCAGGGCUAGUCAUGAGUAUGCCUGCAGAGACCAACCCAGGGACUGCUGGGAGGAGCUGCAAGAGACCCCACCAGAACAAGAGGAUGCUGAUAGGACUGGACCCUGUCCCAGCCUCCUGUGGCUUGCACACACAGAGGGCAGGAUGGGGCUCCCCAGCCCUGGGCUGUCCCCAUCAUGCAGCACUCAAGGGCAGCUGGGCCAUGACCCAUACCCUGCAGGCAGAGGGGAAAGGUCCUGGGGAAGCCUGAACUACUCCAGUAGGCCAACAGACACCCAGGGGCUGGGGCUUUAUGCAGCUGUGUAGGACUAGGCUUCAAGGGGUUAACCACCCUGAGCCACUCAGGUUUUCGACCGUGAGGCAAAAUACUUAGGCACCCAGGGUUUGGUGCCCUCCUCCAGCUUGGCAUCUGUGCAUGGCAGGAUGUAUCCCUGAUGGACCUCACCCUUCUCCUAUCCCAGAGACCAGACGAGUGCACAUCCACAUCCUGUGAUACAGUCGGACACACCAGAUCCAUGCAUGCAGCCUCCCCCCCCCCCCGCACACACACAGGCACCAGAGGGCAAAGACACCCAGCAGAUGUGCAUGGGCAGAAAUAAGCACAAAGCAACUAUGAAGGACCAACUGCUCUCUUAGGAAAGGGAGGAUUUUUAUGCUCUGCUUUUUCAUCAUUUCCCUCAUUUGCCUCGUUCAAAUGAUAGCCAGUUUCCCAGACAUGAAGCAAAUUCACAGCAUUUAUCCUUCACACCCUGGGAUACCUUCCAUAUAAAAUAAAAAGCAUCCAGUUUCAUUAGGUUUCUGUAUUCUAGUGGUAUUGAUCCCUCAGCUGCUAUGAAACAAGUUGUCACUUCUACCAAAAGUCAGGAACCCUCUGAAUAAAAUAAGGCACCCCCAAGCCUCUGGGGCUCAUUCGACAUUUAAGUAGCAUGGAUCCAUCCUUCACUGAGAAACUGGAAUUUUCCCUGGGAGAUUUUUCCCUGGCAGGACUCUGGGAUAUUUCCCUGGGAGAGAGGGGAAGUCCCAGAUCAUGGGAGGUUUUGCCUUGAUAAUAUCCAGCCGGAGACAAAAUCUGUAACUCCUCUAGAUUUUUAUUGUUUGGCUCUUGGUUUUCUGUGCCAUUAGUCUGGUACAAUAACAAAGCCAACUCCCCAUUUCCAGGUUUCCCUUUGGCUCUCAAAACCCCUUUAGUCAACAGCCAAACCUACCUUGUGUGAGAUCUGUGAAAGGCCCUUAUAAAAAGAGCACAUGCAAAUGUUGUUCCCCAAUUUCCUGCUUAACGCAGGCAAGGUUCCUCCUUAAACACCAGCCCUGGCUCUGUGCACCUCAGUGUCUCCCCAGAGCUGCCGCCUCCUGUCUGCUGGGGACACCGGGCACCAGCCACAAGGACCAUGACGCCAGCGCUGGCUUUGCUCAUCCUUCUGGCAGCUCCACCAGGUAAGUGCCUCCUGUCUUGUGGGAUAGAGGGAUACAGAGGCAGGAUGAGAGGGAGACUUGUAGAAGAUUGUUCAUUUGCUAAUGCUGCAUUUUUCUCCAUUAGGUAUCCUGGCCCAGAUCACGCUGAAGGAGUCUGGCCCUGGGGUGGUGAAGCCCGGAGAGACCCUCAGCCUGACCUGCACCGUGUCUGGAUUCUCUCUCACUAGCUAUUAUGUGCACUGGGCUCGACAGGCAGCAGGGAAAGGGCUGGAGUGGGUCGGAGCUAUCUGGGCUGGUGGAAGCCCCUACUUUAACAGCGCUCUCCAAAGCCGCCUCACCAUCAGCAGAGACACGUCCAGCAGCCAAGUUUACUUGCGCCUGACCGGGGUCCAACCUGCAGACACGGCCCAGUAUUACUGUGCCAGAUGCACAGUGAAUGAAAAUGCAUGAGAGCCUGCACAAAAACCAGCCCUGCAGGACCUGCCCGCCCGUGUGAGCAGCAGAGGCAGCAGCUGCCAGGCCCAGGCGCUGCUCCCUGCUGGGUCGGACACAUCAGGCCUGUUAGAUCACUUGAACCAGCCAGGGAUUCAAGCCAGGGAAGGAGGCUCAAAAGUGACAGUGGGUCGGAAUCUGAUAUUUAGCAUAGCAAUCUUACCUUUCAGAGGUUGGUUUGAAUCCUAUGCUUGAGAUUCCACUGUUUUGAUUGGUGGAGCCCUUCCACCAAUUAGGAGGCAGCAAGAGAAAGACCCUCACACCCCUUUCCUGAAGGGAGGGGGAGAAGAGCUUCUCAGGACCUGACUGAACACUGAAAACUGUCAGGUUUGGGGGACUUUAGGGGCAGAGCCCUGGGGCGUAUAAAAGGAGCUGCGCCACAAGGGGCAGAUGCAGAGAAAAGUGGGGUUUAGAAGAGCUGAGGAGAGCUGCUCAGCAGGGCAAAGCAGUAGCCCAGGAAGAGCCCCUGCAGACCUCUGUCGGUGGGGAGCAUGGCACAGCUCCAGCGGUUAGGCUCUCGGUGCACAGCCCAGCGCAUGGUGUCCAGACCCUGGGAGCUGCAUGAGGCGGCUUGGGUCUGCAACCUCUGGUGUGCGGCCAGACACAGUGCACAGGCUGUUGCACGGAGCAGGACCUUAGAAGCCUCUGGGGUGGCUCAGGUCCUCAACCCCGAGAAUGAGGCUGGGAGCUCAGUGCUUGAGGCACUACAUGGAGGGUGAGAGACCCUGGUCGCCGCUUGAGGCGUCUUGGGUCUACAGCUGCUAACAUGGGCAGCAGCUCAGUGCAAACAAUGCAGCCCAGAGGGUCCGGGAACAGACCAAGCCCUGGUGCUACACAAGGAUAUCCAAGCCGCCAACCCCUAGCAUAAAGCCAAGUGCCCACUACACACAGCGGUGCACGUGGCCCUAAGCCAGGAUAGCAGCAGGAGAGUCAGGCAGCAGAAAAACCCAUCAGGGACAGAGCUUGACCUGGAGAACAAGAGGCAAUUCUCCGGGACUGUGGAAUAGUAAGUGAACCUGGAGAGAGGGUCCCCAUGGGGAAGCCCCUCACCCCUCAAACUGGGUGAGAUAUAUACAUACACACACACACACACACAUAUAUAGGGUUUAUUGUUUUGUCAACUUGUACAUAGAUUAUAUAUAUAUGAUCUUACCCUUUAAUGGUUUUGUUGUGAUAAUAAAUCUGUAUAUAGUUAAGUAA